GAUGAACGCUGGCGGCGUGCCUAAUACAUGCAAGUCGAGCGAACAGACGAGGAGCUUGCUCCUCUGACGUUAGCGGCGGACGGGUGAGUAACACGUGGAUAACCUACCUAUAAGACUGGGAUAACUUCGGGAAACCGGAGCUAAUACCGGAUAAUAUAUUGAACCGCAUGGUUCAAUAGUGAAAGACGGUUUUGCUGUCACUUAUAGAUGGAUCCGCGCCGCAUUAGCUAGUUGGUAAGGUAACGGCUUACCAAGGCAACGAUGCGUAGCCGACCUGAGAGGGUGAUCGGCCACACUGGAACUGAGACACGGUCCAGACUCCUACGGGAGGCAGCAGUAGGGAAUCGUCCGCAAUGGGCGAAAGCCUGACGGAGCACCGCCGCGUGAGUGAUGAAGGUCUUCGGAUCGUAAAACUCUGUUAUUAGGGAAGAACAAAUGUGUAAGUAACUAUGCACGUCUUGACGGUACCUAAUCAGAAAGCCACGGCUAACUACGUG
rnacentral:rRNA from 1 species